CAAUAUCAAGGCAAGACCCUUCACAAGUAAGAAGAUUAUGACCCACUGUAUGCUCAGAUUAUCAUCAGCAAUUUUUAGCAACACAAUACUUAUAAUUAGGGAGAUUCGGCAUGGACUCUCCCACCACCAUUAUGAAAGAUACAGAGAGAGAUUAGUCAAUAGAAGGAGAACAAGCUGGCUGAACCAAAGAUUGACUAAAGAUCAGAGCAAUGAAAGAGAAAAGAGGAGGAAUUUUUUAAAGGAAUAAACCAACUCAUCCACCUGCUCUUGCAAAGCAGGGAAUCAAUUAUGCCAACAAAGGGAGGCACAAUGAAAAUUGCAGAGAGAAAGCCCAUGAAUGAAUGAGCUUGCGCAGGGUGUGGAUAGAUUGAAAUAUACAGGCUGACCCAGGGGAAGAGAAAGAUGACGCAAGUGGAUGGCAAAGAAAAGGAAGGUGGGUGGCCAAGCAGGUGCCCACAAUGCUGGGCAAAUAGGAGCAAUCAGGGGUAGGGACAGAAUUAUUUCCCUUCCAGAGAACUCCCUUUUGAUGCUGAACUAGUUGAGACGCUGGAAUUAGUAUCAGAAGAGGCCACCUGCACCACUUCAGAGCACAGUCAUCCUUC
rnacentral:lncRNA from 10 species